rnacentral:lncRNA from 1 species
AAUUAACUCCUCAUUUCAUUUUUAUACAUAUCUACCUUUCCUGCUUUGUUUACCAAAGCAGGAGACACUCACCUUUGUGCAAGGUUGAUCCUGGUGGGAUGUUCUGGCAAGAAGUUCUGGCAGUUCUCUGGUGUACUCACAACCACUCUCUGCUAUUAACCAGGCACUGAGGGCUGACUGCAUAUCUGGUUUUUUGGGUUUUUUUUUCAGGAAUAGAUCUUCAAGAAUUAUAAGACCCAUCCUUAAGAGAAGACCCAUUUGCCUUAAGAAAAAAAGGAAAUGAAAAUAAAUGAAAAACUUGAAAGAUGAAAUGAAAGUUCUGCUCUGCAGAUCUGAUUCUGGAGAAGGGGAAAAGUUUCUUGCUGGGAGAUGACUUCACAAACUUACCAACAUAUAGGUUUUGGGAGAGACAGCCCCUCAAGCUCCCCCAAGCAUGUGCUAACAAGAGCCAAGGCUGUUUAUGAUUACCUAGCACCACAAAUCAAAGCAUCCUUUCAUAGCAUCACAAAACAAUUCCCUGGACCAUAUCAGAAGGAGUUAAUUUUCUCUGACCAGAUUAUGCUGCAAUUAAAAUGUGCACCAGAGAAUAAUUUGUUCCUCCAUUGCAAUGCCAGAGAUGUUUUCUCCUGUCCACAGCAUCCCUGCUAUUGGCAAAUACUGCAACAAAGAGAAGGAAGUGGUUCCAAAUGUGUCCAUCCUACUGACAUGGAUUGUAAUGAGCAUGGAAAGUGGGCCAACAUUAACUCUCAUAGUGAUUUCGAUGGACAUGUAAUUAGAGGUGAAUGGAGCCUUCAGAGCAGUAAUUUCUCUCCCACUUUGACCAGCUGGCUCAUAACACCCACUGAUGGCAUCAUGGAAAACCUGGUGUACAGCUGCAUGACUUGCAGCCACAAACAGAGAAGAGUGGGGUUUGUGAGCUGGUUCACCACAGACUGAUGCAGUGGACAUGAAGAAUGAAAAAAUUGCCACCUUUCUGAACUUGGAGGAAUGCAGAAUGGGUGCACAACUUUGUGAAGCACAGAAGGAUCUGGGCUCAGGUGAUCUUCCCAUCUCUGCCAUAGAGCUGCAAAAUAAUGAACAGUUCAAGGGGCUCAGAAUCUGUGGUGAGAUUAAAGGCCAGGAGCACAGCAUACAGCUUGUAAAAGAGAAAGAACACACAAAGCUGCUUCCUAUCACCUGUUGGAUCUGGUAGUUUUACAGCCCUGUUUUCUGCACCAUUUUGGCUCACAAGAACAAUUUAACAAUUUAUUCUGCAUCUGAUAUCCAAACCUGGAGAUCCUAUAAGCAGCUUCUCUGAUUGUUUCAGAAGGAGCAGAUUUCCAUCACUGGAGGGCUGGAUACCCUGGGCAUCCAUCAUUACAUCAUUCCAAGAGGCUGGAACUUAAAAAUUGAGACGCCAGGAAUUUUCAGUCUUGAACAACACCCAACAGACUCCUCUGUUUGAAACUUUAAUCCCACCAUUAGGCACAAAAGUCUAUUCAAAUAAUGUGGAUUUGGACAUUAAACCUUUUGCCAGUUUAAAUUAUCCUUAUAAAUCACAUGAAGAGUUACUCUCUGAGAGUACACCAGCCUUAAUGUAGCACCUCAUCCUCUGCAGGCACCUCUUGCACAGGUUUGUUCCAUGCUACUCAAUUAGCAAUCUGUGAAAUAUCUUUCCCUGACAAUAUAUAAAACACCAAUAUAAAGAAUACAAACUAUCUCACUUGUCUGUGUUCUCAGUGUCUGGAGUUGUGCUGAUUUAUUCUGGAGGCAAUGCUCCUUGUGGAGUGAGAGCAUGGGUACAGGGUGUGGCAUGGCUGGAUGACCCCAGGCUGCAGAAGCAUGGGGGUGUUCAAGUAUAUUUUGGGGUUUUUUCCCCACUAAGGUAUUCUCUUUUCUAGGCCAGACUAGUGGGUGACAGCUUUAUGCAGACACGAGUUAAUUGCCAAUUUGGAUACUUACAGUCACAGAUAUGUUUUUUUCUAUGUUGUUUAGUCCAAAUAAAGCAAAUCUAAAGGAAG